rnacentral:tRNA from 1 species
GCCCGCAUAGCUCAGUUGCCAGAGCAGGGGUUUUGUAAACCUCACUUCGUUGGUUCGAAUCCCACUGCGGGCUCCA